CUCUGAAAGUUCUUCCCCAGAAAGGGAGCGAAAAAAAAAAAAGAAUCUAUACAUAGAAGAAUCGGUAAAUAAUAUAUCUCCAUUUUUUUUUUUUCGUUUUUCAUAAAUAAUUCUCUUAAUUAUUCCCAAUUUC
rnacentral:ribozyme from 17 species